UACCUUUUAGCGGGGAAUAGCCCAGGGAAACUUGGAUUAAUGCCCCAUAGUAUAUAGACUUCUCCUGAAGUUUAUAUUUAAACAUUUAUGGCUAUUAGAUGGGUAUGCGUCCUAUUAGUUAGUUGGUAAGGUAACGGCUUACCAAGGCAGCGAUAGGUAGGGGUCCUGAGAGGGAGAUCCCCACACUGGUACUGAGACACGGACCAGACUCCUACGGGAGGCAGCAGUGAGGAAUAUUGGACAAUGGGCGAGAGCCUGAUCCAGCCAUGCCGCGUGCAGGAAGACUGCCCUAUGGGUUGUAAACUGCUUUUACAGAGGAAGAACCACCCCCACGUGUGGGGGUUUGACGGUACUCUGCGAAUAAGGAUCGGCUAACUCCGUG
rnacentral:rRNA from 1 species